rnacentral:rRNA from 1 species
CCCUUAGAUGUUCUGGGCCGCACGCGUGCUACACUGAGUGGAUCAGCGGGUCAGGUUGCGCGAAAACGUUUCCUAAUCUUUAAAUCCGCUCGUGAUGGGGAUUGACGGUUGCAAUUUUCUGUCAUGAACGAGGAAUACCUUGUAAGCGCGGGUCAUCAUCCCGCGCUGAAUACGUCCCUGCCCUUUGUACACACCGCCCGUCGCUCCUACCGAUUGAGUGGUCCGGUGAGGCUUUGGGAUCUGAGCGGAAAGAGCGUUUCGCUGUUUCUGCUCGGAAAACUCAGUCGAACCUUAUCAUUUAGAGGAAGGAGAAGUCGUAACA